GAUGAACGCUGGCGGCGUGCCUAAUACAUGCAAGUCGAGCGAACAGACGAGGAGCUUGCUCCUCUGACGUUAGCGGCGGACGGGUGAGUAACACGUGUAUAACCUACCUAUAAGACUGAGAUAACUUCGGAAACCGGAGCUAAUACCGGAUAAUAUAUUGAACCGCAUGUUUCAAUAGUGAAAGACGGUUUUGCUGUCACUUAUAGAUGGAUCCGCGCCGCAUUAGCUAGUUGGUAAGGUAACGGCCUACCAAGGCAACGAUGCGUAGCCGACCUGAGAGGCUGAUCGGCCACACUGGAACUGAGACACGGUCCAGACUCCUACGGGAGGCAGCAGUAGGGAAUCGUCCGCAAUGGGCGAAAGCUUGACGGAGCAACGCCGCGUGAGUGAUGAAGGUCUUCGGAUCGUAAAACUCUGUUAUUAGGGAAGAACAAAUGUGUAAGUAACUAUGCACGUCUUGACGGUACCUAAUCAGAAAGCAACGGCUAACUACGUG
rnacentral:rRNA from 1 species